rnacentral:rRNA from 1 species
GAUGAACGCUGGCGGCGUGCUUAACACAUGCAAGUCGAACGAAGCAUUUAAGACAGAUUACUUCGGUUUGAAGUCUUUUAUGACUGAGUGGCGGACGGGUGAGUAACGCGUGGGUAACCUGCCUCAUACAGGGGGAUAGCAGCUGGAAACGGCUGGUAAUACCGCAUAAGCGCACAGUACCACAUGGUACAGUGUGAAAAACUCCGGUGGUAUGAGAUGGACCCGCGUCUGAUUAGCUUGUUGGCGGGGUAACGGCCCACCAAGGCGACGAUCAGUAGCCGACCUGAGAGGGUGACCGGCCACAUUGGGACUGAGACACGGCCCAGACUCCUACGGGAGGCAGCAGUGGGGAAUAUUGCACAAUGGAGGAAACUCUGAUGCAGCGACGCCGCGUGAGUGAAGAAGUAGUUCGCUAUGUAAAGCUCUAUCAGCAGGGAAGAUAGUGACGGUAC